GGGAGGGCCAUUAGAGUAUUUGUAACCACUGACUGAGAAGCUGAGCACUUCUUUCUGACAGAGACUGGACACUCAGAAAAUAAUAGCUCUCUCUGGGGGGCUCACCUCUUCUCCCUUCUACCAACGCUACAGCUGCCCUCAACCCUCCGUGGCAUGGCCAGGAAGCAGCAUUCUAAGGACAGAUGCCUGAACGAACAUUAGCCCAGAGCCAGAGAUGGAUUAACAGAGUAGGAGGGCGCCUGCCAAUGAAUGAGACCACCAGAUCAAAGCAGACCAAAGAAAAAGGAAAGCGACAGACCCUGCCGGCCUACGUGAGCUCCUGCCUCCUGCUGCCUCCUGCGUCUGAACGGCCAAGGCCACUGUGCCCCUGACUUUCAGUGAUAGGCCAUGAGGCCAGUGAAAUGGGUCACCUGGGGGUGCUGUGUGCCUGUUUUCCUGCUGAAUUUGACAGUGGAGCUUCUGAAGCAGGAGCUAUUGCAGCUACAGACCCACAAUGCCUGAGCCCGUAAAUUCUU